UUUUUUUUUUUUUUUAAAAAAAGCUCUUUUACUUUCCCCUGCAUUCUUGCAUAGGUCUUUGCAAUGAUCUUGCAGGUUCCUAAUUCAGUCCUUAGCUGUGUCUAUCCUGCUUCAUACUUCAGCUAUUGUGCCUUUUGUUUCAACAGUUAUAUUUUUCAUAUCUGAUAUUUCCUCGUGGUUGUUCUUGCAUCAUGUUGCUAACAUCCUCCCUGAUCAAGUUUUUGACAAGCCAAUGAACCAGCUUGUACUGCUGGUACCUUCCUCCAAAACUGUAAAUACAGAACUAUAGUAGAGAAAAGCUACAAAAGAGAAAUAAUCAUGUACAUGAUAAACUAACACAUAAUUGAGAACCCUCUGAGAAGACUGAAGGCUCUUUUGAACCACAAUGUGAGCAAGCACGUGUUGGGGGAUGGGUGUCUGCAAACCGGGGUGCAGAAGGGCAGGCCAAGAGAAAGCUGGUAAACUCUUUCUUUGUUUACCCCCUUCCUGCCUCAUCACCACAGCAAUCAUCAGCAACAGCGUAGUUGGCCCAGUGGUGGAAAAGGGGAUAUGAGAAGAGGUAAUCUGACGGCAGAGCAAAAAGAAAGAAAAGGAAAAGUCAAUACAGCCGAUUCUCACUAUUCAUGGUAGUUAUGCUCUGUAAAGUUAUUGCAAACACUGACUUAGCAAACUGAAACAUUGCUCCCAGGGGAAAUACAGGGUUAGAGUCCUGUGAGCCUUACCACUGAGUGAGUAAACAGUGAGUCAACUGAUCAAUACAAAACCUAAUUUUAUGUGUGUUUCUGUUUAAAGACAUCUUAUUUGAGAUAUAUUUUUGAUUCAUUAACAUUGAACUCAUGGCCAACAGCACUAUGACUCAUGCCUCAGAAAAGCUUGUAGAACACAUGUUUUCUCUAUCAGCCACAUGCAUAGUUGAUAGUUUGCCUAGAAUACUAAGCUGAAAAUUCCCCAGAAUUUGAAAGUGUCGCUUUGGUGUCUUCUAGCUUCCAGCAUAGCUGUUGACAAAUCCAGUGCUAUCCUAAUUCUUUCUAAUUCUUGAUACUAGGUAUAAUGUCUCUCUCUGUCUCUCUCUCCACUGCCUUUUCUCUUCUUCUUUUCCCUUACCCCUUUUCCUCUCUUCCCUUCUAAUCUUUGUCCCAGUGUUCUGAAGUUUUACAAUCAUAUAUCUUGGUGUUAAUACAUUUUCUUUCAUGGUGCUAGGUCCUUGGUAAGCACUUUUAAAAAAUAGACUUUAGUUUUUGGAACAGUUUUAGAUUUACUGCAUAAUUCAGAGGAAGUUAUAGAAAUUUCCCAUAUCCCCCCUGCAUUCCCCCACACACAUAGCCUUCCCCAUUAUCAACAUCUCCAACCAAGACUGGUACACUUUUUAACAAUCAAUGAGUCUACAUUGACAAAUCAGUAUCAUCUAAAGCCCAGAGUUUACAAUAGGGUUCACUCUUGACAUACGUUCUGAGUUUGAACAAAUGUGUAAGGCCAAGUAUCCACCAUUAUAGUAUCAAUCAAAGUAUUCUCAAAUAUCUGAAAAGUAUCUGUCUCAUGCUAUGUAUCCCUUCCUGCCAUCUGACAACUGGCGACCACUGAUCUUUUUACCAUUGCCACAGUUUUGCCUUUUCCGGAGUGUCAUAUAGUUGGAAUCAUAUGGUAUGUGUAGACUUUUUAGAUUGGCUCCUUUCACUUAGUAAUAUGCAUCUAAGUUUCUUCCGUGUCUUUUCAUGGCUUGAUAGAUAACUUUUUUUUUUUUUUUUUUUGAGAUGGAGUCUCACCCUGUCAUCCAGGCUAGAGUGCAGUAGUGCAAUCUCAGCUCACUGCAACCUCCACCUCCUGGGCUCAAAUGAUUCUCCUGCCUCAGCCUCCCAAGUAGCUGGGACUACAGGUGUGUGCCACCAUGCCUGGCUAAUUUUUGUAUUUUUUGGAGACAGACGGUUUCACCACGUUGGCUAGGCUGGUCUUGAACUCCUGACCUCAAGUGAUCCACCACGCCCGGCCGAUAGCUAACUUCUUUAGCACUGACUAAUAUUUUGUUGUCUGGAUGUACCACAGUUUAUUUAUCCAUUCACUUACUGAAGGACACCAUGGUUGCUUCCAAGUGGUGUCAUUAUAAAUUGAGCUGCUCUGGGCAUGUGUGUGCAGGCUUUUGUAUGAAUAAGUUUUCAACUUCUUUCAGUAAAUACCAAGGAAUAUGACUGCUGGAUUGCAAGGGGGGAAGUAUGUACGGUUAUAUAAGACACUGCCAAACUGUCUUUAAAAGUGGCUGUACCAUUUGCAUUCCCACCAGCAAUGUUUGAGAGUUCCUGUUGCUCCACAUCCUCACUGGCAUUUAGUGUUAUCAGCAUUCUGGACUUUGGCCAUUCUAAUAGGUAUGUAGUAGUAUUCUCAUGGUUGUUUUAAUUUGCAUUUUUCCUGAUGACAUAUGUA
rnacentral:lncRNA from 1 species